UACGUAGGGGGCAAGCGUUGUCCGGAAUUACUGGGCGUAAAGCGCACGUAGGCGGCUUUCUAAGUCGGGGGUGAAAUCCUGGAGCUCAACUCCAGAACUGCCUUCGAUACUGGAGAGCUCGAGUCCGGGAGAGGUGAGUGGAACUGCGAGUGUAGAGGUGAAAUUCGUAGAUAUUCGCAAGAACACCAGUGGCGAAGGCGGCUCACUGGCCCGGUACUGACGCUGAGGUGCGAAAGCGUGGGGAGCAAACAGG
rnacentral:rRNA from 1 species